UACAGAGGUGGCAAGCGUUGUUCGGAAUUACUGGGCGUAAAGGGCGCGUAGGCGGUCUUGUAAGUCCCGUGUGAAAUCCCUCGGCUCAACUGAGGAACUGCACGGGAAACUGCUUGGCUUGAGUUCGGGAGAGGGAAGCGGAAUUCCGGGUGUAGCGGUGAAAUGCGCAGAUAUCAGGAGGAACACCGGAGGCGAAGGCGGGUCUCUGGGCCGAUACUGACGCUGAGGAGCGAAAGCGUGGGGAGCGAACAGG
rnacentral:rRNA from 1 species